AUGACAGGAGGCGACGUUCGUCCUGGCUCCCCAAGCCAGCACGGCAGGGGCCAAGGAACCGGUCGUCGGUUGACACAUCGACUCAAUAGGACCUGGGGGAGAAGAUCCCUGAGGUCGUCAAGGAAGGGCUGGGCCAGUCAUCGGCCCAGCCGACGUCUACUCCAGCUCCACCAUCGUACCUGGAGGCCGCUUGACCUAGCCCCCCGGCGCCUGGGUCCGAGGUCGGCCCCCCCUCCACCUCCUACUCAAGAGCAAGCUAGGAUAGGGUGGACGAAAGACAUGGAGGAGACCUUCAAGGGCUCCUCCCUCAAGGAGGAGCACCACACCAUGACAGGUUCAGCACUGCAAGGCUUCCAGUCCGCAAGGGCCGUCCUGCACGAGGUCUUCAAGAGCCUCGUCACGAGCUUUGAGGUAUGUUUCUACCUUUGUGUCAAAUUAGCUUAUUUGUUUGAGCUUAUCAAGUUAUGUAUUUGUCCGAGGACAUGUUCUCAUGGCCUUCUAAACGACGCAGUGAGUGAAUAG
rnacentral:rRNA from 1 species